rnacentral:rRNA from 1 species
AUUGAACGCUGGCGGAAUGCUUUACACAUGCAAGUCGAACGGCAGCACGGGUGCUUGCACCUGGUGGCGAGUGGCGAACGGGUGAGUAAUGCACCGGAACGUAUCCAAUAAUGGGGGAUAACGCACCGAAAGGUGUGCUAAUACCGCAUACGCCCUGAGGGGGAAAAGCGGGGGGAUCGUAAGACCUCGCGUUAAUGGAGCGGCCGAUGCCGGAUUAGCUAGUUGGUGAGGUAAAGGCUCACCAAGGCGACGAUCCGUAGCUGGUCUGAGAGGACGACCAGCCACACUGGAACUGAGACACGGUCCAGACUCCUACGGGAGGCAGCAGUGGGGAAUUUUGGACAAUGGGCGCAAGCCUGAUCCAGCCAUUCCGCGUGAGUGAAGAAGCCU